GCUACUUCACUUCUUGGCUUGAAGCGCCUUUUCACUUUGUUGGCUAAAAGUGGAAGAUGUCCGAGUGCUCCCCCGAGAGGAUGCUUUGAGAUUGGCUUGAGGCUCCGCUUCCUUCUAUUCAGAUUCCCUGCGAUGCCUCGUAUCAGAGACACUUUUCGUUUUCAGUUCAUUGUCUUUUUCUCGAGUUUAGGGGAGAACUAAAGCAGGUGAUCACUCUAAAUAGCGUAAAUAGAGUGUUUGGUGGAUCCCCAACCCCUCUUUGAAAUUCGAAGGAGAUCAAAAGUAUGCUUAUGAAGACGUAGGUAGAUUUGGCCAUAAAUAGGGAAAGAAAGAACCAUACUCGCUCGAACUUUUACCAUUGUACAGAAGCCAACCAAAAGGAGUUUAUACAUCUUGGGAAAGAGCACGCUACAAAGCGAAACUGGGCCUCAACGGAAAGAUGACUCCUGAAGUUCAGCAGCGUGCUCGAUCGGCGACAGAAUAAGGAAGUUUCCCCUGAUCAAGAAAGAAGGUCAGCGACUAGUCGUAUUGUCAUCAGAUGAAUGACUAGCCUUGGAAG
rnacentral:lncRNA from 1 species